rnacentral:rRNA from 1 species
AGUAAAGUCGUAACAAGGUUUCCGUAGGUGAACCUGCGGAAGGAUCAUUAUCGAAAUAAACCUGAUGAGUUGCUGCUGGCUCUCUAGAGAGCAUGUGCACACUUGUCGUCUUUAUAUCUCCACCUGUGCACCUAUUGUAGACCUGGAUAACCUUCUGAAUGCGCUAGCAUUUAGGUACGAGGAUUGACUUUCUGCCUCUCCUUACAUUUUCAGGCCUAUGUUCUUUCAUAUAACCUCAAUGUAUGUCAUGGAAUGUAAUACUUAUGGGCUUCUGUGCCCUAUAAACCUUAUACAACUUUCAGCAACGGAUCUCUUGGCUCUCGCAUCGAUGAAGAACGCAGCGAAAUGCGAUAAGUAAUGUGAAUUGCAGAAUUCAGUGAAUCAUCGAAUCUUUGAACGCACCUUGCACUCCUUGGUAUUCCGAGGAGUAUGCCUGUUUGAGUGUCAUUAAUAUAUCAACCUCUCAAGCUUUUGCUUGUGGAGUGUAUGGAUGUGGGGGGAUUAUUUUGCUGGCCUUUUCAUGAGGUCGGCUCCCCUGAAAUGCAUUGGCAGAAUGAUUUGCUGACCGUUUAUUGGUGUGAUAACUAUCUACGCUGUUGACGUGAAGCAAGUUCAGCUUAUAAUGGUCCAUUGACUUGGACAACAUAUUUAUUAAUGUGACCUCAAAUCAGGNAGGACUACCCGCUGAACUUAAGCAUAUCAAUAAGCGGAGGAAAAGAAACUAACAAGGAUUCCCCUAGUAACUGCGAGUGAAGCGGGAAAAGCUCAAAUUUAAAAUCUGUCAGUCUUUGGCUGUCC